rnacentral:rRNA from 1 species
CCUACGGGGGGCAGCAGUGGGGAAUAUUGCACAAUGUGGGAAACCCUGAUGCAGCGACGCCGCGUGAGUGAAGAAGUAUUUCGGUAUGUAAAGCUCUAUCAGCAGGGAAGAAAAUGACGGUACCUGAUUAAGAAGCCCCGGCUAACUACGUGCCAGCAGCCGCGGUAAUACGUAGGGGGCAAGCGUUAUCCGGAUUUACUGGGUGUAAAGGGAGCGUAGACGGCAGCACAAGUCUGGAGUGAAAUGCCGGGGCUUAACCCCGGAACUGCUUUGGAAACUGUGCAGCUAGAGUGCAGGAGAGGUAAGGGGAAGUGCUGGUGGAGGGGUGGAAUGCGGAG